UACGGAGGGUGCGAGCGUUGUCCGGAAUCACUGGGCGUAAAGGGCGCGUAGGCGGCCUGAUAAGUAGGGGGUGAAAUCCUGCGGCUUAACCGCAGGGCUGCCUUCUAGACUGUCAGGCUAGAGCACAGUAGAGGCAGGUGGAAUUCCUGGUGUAGCGGUGAAAUGCGCAGAUAUCAGGAAGAACACCCGUGGCGAAGGCGGCUCUCUGGUACGUGACUGACGCUGAGACGCGAAAGCGUGGGGAGCAAACAGG
rnacentral:rRNA from 1 species